rnacentral:piRNA from 1 species
UGGACUAAAUAGUACUAAGUACU